rnacentral:rRNA from 1 species
AGCAGUAGCCGCGGGAAUACGUAGGUGGCAAGCGUUGUCCGGAAUUAUUGGGCGUAAAGGGCUCGCAGGCGGUUUCUUAAGUCUGAUGUGAAAGCCCCCGGCUCAACCGGGGAGGGUCAUUGGAGACUGGGAAACUUGAGUGCAGAAGAGGAGAGUGGAAUUCCACGUGUAGCGGUGAAAUGCGUAGAGAUGUGGAGGAACACCAGUGGCGAAGGCGACUCUCUGGUCUGUAACUGACGCUGAGGAGCGAAAGCGUGGGGAGCGAACAGGAUUAGAUACCCGCGUAGUCCCUGUCUCUUAUAC